rnacentral:rRNA from 1 species
AUGGAGCCUCUCAAGCGUUUGACUUGUGUGAGGGAAGAAAAUGGCAACCGUGGGCACGAGUUUGUGAAAUGUUUGAGCAAGCCACAGCCGGGGCAGGUUCUGAAGAAAUGUGGGCAUUUUGAGUGGCUCGAUGACUAUGUUGAAAGGUUGAAAUUGGAGGGAUCAACCCCAACCCAAGAGCUCAAUUUUGGGGGCGGCUUGCCGUGGAACAAGCCCCCAAUUUGGUGGACAGAGCCAAUCCGAUGA